GGGGCUGAUUCUGGAUUCGACGGGAUUUGCGAAACCCAAGGUGCAUGCCGAGGGGCGGUUGGCCUCGUAAAAAGCCGCAAAAAAUAGUCGCAAACGACGAAAACUACGCUUUAGCAGCUUAAUAACCUGCUCUGAGCCCUCUCUCCCUAGCUUCCGCUCUUAAGACGGGGAUCAAAGAGAGGUCAAACCCAAAAGAGAUCGCGUGGAUGCCCUGCCUGGGGUUGAAGCGUUAAAUCUAAUCAGGCUAGUUUGUUAG
rnacentral:tmRNA from 1 species